CAGACACCUGUGUUAUGACAUUGUAGGCUCUAAAUUUACUCUUGAGAAAGAUUUCUAAUUACUUCUUUAAUUCACAGCUUGUCGUGUGUCUUCAGAGGUGUUCAAGCUGAGCCUGAAUGACUGAGGUUGCCUCAUCUACCCUACAGGAACUCUGACAGAGACCCCUGGACCCAGGCUUCAUGGAAUCUCUGCUGGAGCUCUGAGUGUUCUACUCCUGACAGCAUCAGCCAAAGGAAGGAAGGGACACCUGACCGUCACAGAGCCACUUUCUAGUCCUGUGCUAAAAUGGGUGAAUCCUUCUCUCCUUGGUUCAGCAGCCACAGCAGUAAAAGAAUAUGGUUCUCCAUGCCCACCAACUAAAGGAGGCAAGAAUGACACACAUACAAAAGGUCCGAAGAAUGAAGAGGAUGAUAAUGGCUGUUGACUAAGGAGGAGGAUAGAGAACAUGGAAACACUCCUGCAGUGGUGUGCAAACUAC